rnacentral:rRNA from 1 species
UACGUAGGGGGCAAGCGUUAUCCGGAUUCACUGGGCGUAAAGGGAGCGUAGACGGCCAUGCAAGCCUGGAGUGAAAGCCCGGGGCCCAACCCCGGGACUGCUCUGGGAACUGGCGGACUAGAGUGCGGGAGGGGUAAGCGGAAUUCCUAGUGUAGCGGUGAAAUGCGUAGAUAUUAGGAGGAACACCGGUGGCGAAGGCGGCCUGCUGGACCGCGACUGACGUUGAGGCUCGAAAGCGUGGGGAGCAA